UACGGGGGGGGCAAGCGUUGUCCGGAAUCAUUGGGCGUAAAGAGCGUGUAGGCGGCCCGGUAAGUCCGCUGUGAAAGUCCAGGGCUCAACCCUGGGAUGCCGGUGGAUACUGUCGGGCUCGAGUCCGGAAGAGGAGUGUGGAAUUCCUGGUGUAGCGGUGAAAUGCGCAGAUAUCAGGAGGAACACCAAUGGCGAAGGCAGCACUCUGGGACGUGACUGACGCUGAGACGCGAAAGCGUGGGGAGCAAACAGG
rnacentral:rRNA from 1 species